rnacentral:lncRNA from 1 species
AGAAGUAAUGUGUGAAACGGUUAUAGUCCUGGCGGUAAGGAGCUGACCAGGGCCUCCUCAGUUCGCCCGGCCAGCACCUCUCUGGUUUUAUCAGCAGGAGGGGACCUGGUGCCCCCACCAUCCCCCCUUCACAGUUGGAGCAUCAGUGGACACUCAGAGCAGACAGCGGAGCACAGGGACUCAGGCACUCACCAGCUCAGCUCCAAAGGUCUCCAGGCACAAGGAUAAUGGAAGCCAACCCUGAGGGAAACGUCUUUGAAAAAGUUGCCUGCUGUUCAUGUCUCCAGUUCUUAUCCUGCCUCAACCCACAGCAUCCUGGCAUCAGC